ACACGCAUACAUGAUCUGCUCUCUCUCAUCUUCCUCACUUCACAAUAAAAACCCUAGCCCCCUUAUACUUUUACCCAUCUUCUCUUAUCUCAUCUGCAGAGAUUUGAUAUAAACACACACACAUGAAAUCAGAGUCAUAACCAUCUCCCAGCACAGCCAUACCUACACCGAUCGGACUAGAGAGAGAGAGAGAGAGAGAGAGAGCGGCGGAGAAGAACCAACGGCGGCAGCAGCGCUGCCGUCUACGGCGGAGCGACGGAGGACCGGCGACGGUGGUCCUUUUUGACUGAUGAGUUUCUGUUCCGACGAAGAUCACAACCGGCCGAAGUUGUCAGAGCCGGUGGUGCACCGGCGGCGACAGGCGGCGCUGACGCCGCUCACGGCGGUGGCGGUGGUGGAAUUUCGCGAAGAUUGUUCAGUUUUUGUCCACAUCGAUGAAAAUGGUGAUGAUUUUUCCUGUUAGUAGUAUAGGUGUAUGAUGUAUUGGCGACGGAAGAUGACAACCGUGACGGUGGGGGUGGCUAACGGAGGCGCACGGCAGCAGUAGUGGUUAUCAUCUUUUAAUUUGGGUUCGAGUGAAGAGGUUACGGAUUCGGGUUAUGUUUGGUUAGAUCCAGCUGAGUUUGGUUUUCUUUCGGGUGAGAAUUUGGUUCUGAGUUGGAUUCGUUUCGGGCUCGGUCAACAGCCGUCAACGAGGAGUUCAGGUCAAACAAAGUCAAACCAGUCAACACGUCAGGUUGACUGGUCAACGGGAGUCAAGGGCAGAAUUUGAUUUGGGUUUCGCGACUCAGUGGGGUUCGAGUCAACUCAGCUGCGUUUCGGGUCAAACCCGGUUGGCUCGGUCAACACCCGAGUCAACUCGGGUCGACAACAGGUCAAGGCAGUCAACAACAGUCAACGCUCGGUCAACACGGGAGGCCCGGUAAAGUUGUUAGCGUAGCAAGUUAGUUACGUUAGAUUUUAGUUAGUUAUACGCGACCGAGCUCGACCCGAAUCGAUUAGCGAUUGGUUACAUUUUAUUUUGUCGUAUUUCAUAAUGUUUUAGUAUAUAUUGUCUGUUGAGUGA